GACAGAGGUGGCAAGCGUUGUUCGGAUUCAUUGGGUGUAAAGGGCAGGUAGGUGGUCUUGUAAGUCUGGUGUGAAAUCCCAGGGCUCAACCCUGGAACUGCAUUGGAAGCUGCAAGACUUGAAUACCGGAGAGGUGAGGGAAGUUCUCGGUGUAAGGGUGAAAUACUGUAGAUAUCGAGAGGAACACCAGUGGCGAAGGCGCCUCACUGGCCGGUUAUUGACACUGAGCUGCGAAAGCAAGGGGAGCAAACAGGAUUAGAUACCCCU
rnacentral:rRNA from 1 species